rnacentral:rRNA from 1 species
GACGAACGCUGGCGGCGUGCUUAACACAUGCAAGUCGAACGGAAAGGCCCUGCUUUUGUGGGGUGCUCGAGUGGCGAACAGGUGAGUAACACGUGAGUAACCUGCCCUUGACUUUGGGAUAACUUCAGGAAACUGGGGCUAAUACCGGAUAGGAGCUCCUGCUGCAUGGUGGGGGUUGGAAAGUUUCGGCGGUUGGGGAUGGACUCGCGGCUUAUCAGCUUGUUGGUGGGGUAGUGGCUUACCAAGGCUUUGACGGGUAGCCGGCCUGAGAGGGUGACCGGCCCCAUUGGGACUGAGAUACGGCCCAGACUCCUACGGGAGGCAGCAGUGGGGAAUAUUGCACAAUGGGCGGAAGCCUGAUGCAGAAACGCCGCGUGCGGGAUGACGGCCUUCGGGUUGUAAACCGCUUUCGCCUGUGACGAAGCGUGAGUGACGGUAAUGGGUAAAGAAGCACCGGCUAACUACGUG